GCGCCCGUAGUUCAACGGACAGAAUGAGGGAUUGCGGAUCCCUUGAUAGAGGUUCGAUUCCUCUCGGGCGCACCA
rnacentral:tRNA from 1 species